rnacentral:rRNA from 1 species
AUUGAACGCUGGCGGCAGGCCUAACACAUGCAAGUCGAGCGGGGUUUUCGGACCUAGCGGCGGACGGGUGAGUAAUGCGUAGGAAGCUGCCCGAUAGAGGGGGAUACCAGUUGGAAACGACUGUUAAUACCGCAUAAUGUCUACGGACCAAAGUGUGGGACCUUCGGGCCACAUGCUAUCGGAUGCGCCUACGUGGGAUUAGCUAGUUGGUGAAGUAAUGGCUCACCAAGGCGACGAUCUCUAGCUGGUUGUAGAGGAUGAUCAGCCACACUGGAACUGAGACACGGUCCAGACUCCUACGGGAGGCAGCAGUGGGGAAUAUUGGACAAUGGGCGCAAGCCUGAUCCAGCCAUGCCGCGUGUGAGAAGAAGGCCUUCGGGUUGUAAAGCACUUUCAGCGAGGAGGAAGGGGUGUGUGUUAAUAGUACACACCUUUGACGUUACUCGCAGAAGAAGCACCGGCUAACUCUGUGCCAGCCGCCGCAGUAACAC